AUUGAACGCUGGCGGCAUGCCUUACACAUGCAAGUCGAACGGUAACAGCACUUCGGUGGCUGACGAGUGGCGAACGGGUGAGUAAUACAUCGGAACGUGCCCGAGAGUGGGGGAUAACGCAGCGAAAGCUGUGCUAAUACCGCAUACGAUCUACGGAUGAAAGCAGGGGACCGCAAGGCCUUGCGCUCAUGGAGCGGCCGAUGGCAGAUUAGGUAGUUGGUGGGAUAAAAGCUUACCAAGCCGACGAUCUGUAGCUGGUCUGAGAGGACGACCAGCCACACUGGGACUGAGACACGGCCCAGACUCCUACGGGAGGCAGCAGUGGGGAAUUUUGGACAAUGGGCGAAAGCCUGAUCCAGCCAUGCCGCGUGCAGGAUGAAGGCCUUCGGGUUGUAAACUGCUUUUGUACGGAACGAAAAGGUCUUUUCUAAUAAAGAAGGCUCAUGACGGUACCGUAAGAAUAAGCACCGGCUAACUACGUG
rnacentral:rRNA from 1 species